AUACUUAGGCCAUCUCCAACGUA
rnacentral:siRNA from 1 species